CCUACGGGUGGCUGCAGUGAGGAAUAUUGGUCAAUGGACGAGAGUCUGAACCAGCCAAGUAGCGUGAAGGAUGACUGCCCUAUGGGUUGUAAACUGCUUUUAUAUGGGAAUAAAGUGUUCCACGUGUGGGAUUUUGUAUGUACCAUAUGAAUAAGGAUCGGCUAACUCCGUGCCAGCAGCCGCGGUAAUACGGAGGAUCCGAGCGUUAUCCGGAUUUAUUGGGUUUAAAGGGAGCGUAGGUGGAUUGUUAAGUCAGUUGUGAAAGUUUGCGGCUCAACCGUAAAAUUGCAGUUGACACUGGCAGUCUUGAGUACAGUAGAGGUGGGCGGAAUUCGUGGUGUAGCGGUGAAAUGCUUAGAUAUCACGAAGAACUCCGAUUGCGAAGGCAGUUCACUGGACUGCAACUGACACUGAGGCUCGAAAGUGUGGGUAUCAAACAGGAUUAGAUACCCCAGUAGUC
rnacentral:rRNA from 1 species